CUGCUCGCUUCAGCAGCACGUAUCUAAAAUUAGAAUACAGAAAAGAUUAGCAUGGCCCCUGUGCAAAGAUGACAUGCAAAUUCGUGAAAUAUUCCCUAUUUUU
ensembl:snRNA U6 U6 spliceosomal RNA